UUGUGUUUACUGAAAGAGCUCACAUGAUUUUGAUGAAUAGUGUUUUAAAACAGAAGCAUGUGAACUUUAUUUCGAUCAGGAGGUGCAGUGUGAGCGUGUCGUCAGUUUGUCAUGUAUCUAGACGAUUGUAUUUACUUUGUCAAGAAAAAAGAAAAAUCUGGCAUCGGCACUGAAAUCUUAAGCAACCAGCACGCCCAUGGAGUUGGCUUUGGAAGGCGAUAAGCAUUCCUGCUCCACUCCAUAUUAGCCCCUAGUUCUCGUGUGUUGGGCAGCCUGCCAGGUAGAGGUUGCUAUGGCUUCUAACACCGCCCUUUACACUGGCUAACCCCCCACCCCCUCCCAGAAGGUGCCAGAUUUUGGGAGGGGGCAGGCCACGCUUUGAUUUAGACAAAAGAUGUCUUUACAGUGUCAGCAGAAUACUAACUGGGAAUGCUGUGGCUUUCUGGUAGGAAAUCAUGUGAUCUUUCCAGCCAAGGUUUUGUGAUGGUGCCAGGCGAGGCAGAGGGAGAGAGAGACACACACACGGAGGGAGAAAAGGGGAAAACUUUGAAUAAUGAUGCCAGCAAAUCAUUUUUAUACAAUUUUUUUUCUUCUACUUUGUUUCGGAGAAAAUGGCGGACAGCACAUCGCUGAACUGAAGCCGUGUUGUCAGUGAGCUCAGUUUAGAAGUGUCCCUCGGUCUUUUCAUCAUUCCUUCGUUUAGCAAAGUAAUAAACCAACGGUCAUAGCACCCACUGCGCAUAGCUCACACCCAAGUAGAAAGUGUGGAUACAGAAAGAUAGAAACAUAAAGUGUGAGAGAAUAGUAGAGACGUAGAAAAUAAAAUGGCCACCCUAGCGAACCCACUGGCCCAGCGACCCAUCCGCAGAGCAAGAUGCAGCCACGAUGGGAGCCCCGGCAAUUGUCUGCCGUUCUCCGUGCUUUAAGGUAAGACAGAUACCACUUGCAUCUGCAACACAAUCAACAAAAUCCUUACUUUUCUAGUCUUAUUCAGUCUGAUCCAUUAUGCCAGCAGACAGCAGCAGAUGAGAGUUUAGUUGUGUGACUGCCUUGUUUUGCUUGCAGUAGACGAGUGAGUCAGUAAAAGUGUCAGACCGCCGUAACAGACGGCCUGCGCGAGAUAAUUAGCCCAGAGUCAUUUGGAAGGCGCUCAGCUCUGCCCAGGUGCCCACUCCGCUCAGAAAGAGACCAGACGACCUUUUACUCAGCUCCGUCCCACUGCAGUCACUUAAAACAGUGAUGGAUGUUUCCCUUUACUCCCUGCUCCCUACUGGCUCUCAUUCUCCUUUCCUCUUCACCCGUCCCUCUCCCAUGUCACCAUUUCCCUCACUUCUGUCCUCUGCUUGCAGCACCUUGUUUGUCCCUUCUCUUCUCCUUGUUUUUCUACCCUCGUCUGCCUCUUACAGCUCCCAUUCUCUCUGUUCUUCCAAAGUGAUGAGAGGGAAGAGGAGGAAGAAAGGUGUGGAGAAAAAGGGGAAGAGGGGGGAUUUAAAGUGAAGUGGUGAAGGAGGCUUUUUUUUCCCCUGUCUAUUUUUUUUUAAUCCUGCCAGUUUGAGAAGAGCAGACUCGAGCCCCGCACCCCAUCGGCUCCUCAUUAGUAUGCACCGGCUGUCGCUCAGGUGACAUGGCCACUGGAUUCCAUCCCAACUGCAGGAACAUGAGCGGCACGGUGGAGAGUGGGAUAGCAGGUAAGGACAAUGAGAACGGAACGGCGGGGAGGAAAGGAGAAGAAGAAGGUGGUGGGAUGGGGACAUGGACUUGUAUACACUGUUGUAAUCCAAAUCCAGCUUCUUUAAUUAAAGCGUCUACCGCUGUGAGCUGAGCCGUGCAAGUUAAGUCAUCGUUUGUAAAGCACAUCCACGCAGUUUUACUCGUUAAUGAAAUAUCCCGCACUUCUCUGUACACAGUUUGAACAAUUCAUGAAUUCAUGAGCAUUAAAUGUAAAUGCUGGAGCGUCUGCUCUUCUGCUGAUUUUAAUAAACACCUCUGUUGAUUA